GACGAACGCUGGCGGCGGGCUUAACACAUGCAAGUCGAACGAAGUGGCGAACGGGUGAGUAAUACGUGGGUAACCUGCCCUCCUUUUUGGGAUAAGCCUUGGAAACGGGGUCUAAUACCGAAUAAAGGGGGAUGGGCUCGCGGCCUAUCAGCUUGUUGGUGGGGUGAUGGCCUACCAAGGCGGUGACGGGUAGCCGGCCUCAGAGGGUGAGCGGCGACAGUGGGACGGAGAAACUGUCCAAACUACUACGGGAGGGAGCAGUGGUGAAUACUGCACAAUGGAGGGAAUGCUGAUGCAGCGACGACGCGUGAACGAAGAAGGCUUUCGAGUCGUAAAGUUCUUUCGGUACCAAAAGAAAAAGCCCCGGCUAACUACGUGCCAGCAGCCGCGGUAAUUC
rnacentral:rRNA from 1 species